rnacentral:tRNA from 1 species
GGAGGGCGUGCCGACGGUCGGCGCGCGGUUUCGAACACCGCCACACGGUAACCAUCCCGGGGGUUCAACUCCUCCGCCCUCCG